CUCGCCAGCCCUACCGGCGGUGAGGUGAGCUAGCCCGGUAGAGAUCUGACCGUACUCCCGGCACUAAGCUCCCGCUGGCAGUCAUCACAGUGAACGUUUAACACAAGUGAUUUCUAACAGUUCAACCAAUUCAAGAGAUCCUGGAACAUCACCAAAACUGCACUACAACAAUCAUCACUCACCAAUAAAUGACAUAUGGACCUGAGGAGGAGACCAGCCCCCAACUAUGUCCCAGGUCAGGAGGUAUGGCUCUCUUCUAAAAACUUCCCCUUGAAGGCCUACUCCCGCAAACUAGCUCCAAGGUUCCAGGGUCCAUUCAAAGUUGACCGAAUCAUCAGUCCUUCAUCUGUCUGUCUCAAAAUUCCCACUCACCUCAGAGUCCAUCCAACCUUUCAUGUCUCCUAAAUUAAACCAGUCCUACCCAGUCCUUUAUGCCCUCCGGCCGAAACCCCUCCACCCGCCUGGGACAUUGAUGGACACCACGCAUAUGAUGUGCGAAGGAUCCCGUCAACGAGGCCAGGGAAUGCAGUACCUGGUUGACUGGGAGGGCUAAGGUUCUGAGGAUCACCUCGGCUCCGUCCACCUUCGAUCAGCCACGUUCGUUGGGGGGAGUGAUGUCAGGCCAUGGAGCUGUGUGCAGGUUGCUGUCAACAAGACCCUGGUCCAGAUACAUUCUCCGUGGUUCUGGCUUUACCUUGUCGGCUGUGAGCAAACCCGCCUCCUGGAGAACCCGCUGGGGUUCAGCCUCCUGCUGAAUGGUAAAUACUUCAGUGAAUUUACCUCAGUCCAUGGACUGCUCUGGAUCCACAAGAUCAGAUUGCAAGAUCGCACCUCGCUUCACCUGCCCUGCCUGUCCCUCCUCCAACGCCAUUCACCACCUAGAAGAACUUGCUCGCACAGCACCCUUGCCUGUCAACCUCAGUCUGGCUUGCUCAUUUCUCCUCAGAACCAACACACUCAUAUACAAGUAAGCCUGGAACUCUUACCUUUAACAUUAAGAACCGCCUGCCUGAUAAUACCCGCUCUCUUUUUCCUAGUGAGCCAAUCCCUGAAGCCCGCUGGCUGACACUGACACUGCCCAAAAACACAAUUUCAAUAAACUUGUUUAAACCUUU